UAGAGCGAUAGGAAUUGAACCUACAAUUGAGAGAUCAAAA
rnacentral:tRNA from 1 species